GGUAAUGCCGGAUGCUCCAGUUGAUCGCAUGGUCUUCUGGGAAAGCUUUUGCGGUAUGGGAUGGGGUCGCGUCCUAUCAGCUUGACGGCGGGGUAACGGCCCACCGUGGCUUCGACGGGUAGCCGGCCUGAGAGGGCGACCGGCCACAUUGGGACUGAGAUACGGCCCAGACUCCUACGGGAGGCAGCAGUGGGGAAUAUUGCACAAUGGGCGCAAGCCUGAUGCAGCGACGCCGCGUGAGGGAUGGAGGCCUUCGGGUUGUAAACCUCUUUUAUCGGGGAGCAAGCGAGAGUGAGUUUACCCGUUGAAUAAGCACCGGCUAACUACGUGCCAGCAGCCGCGGUAAUACGUAGGGUGCAAGCGUUAUCCGGAAUUAUUGGGCGUAAAGGGCUCGUAGGCGGUUCGUCGCGUCCGGUGUGAAAGUCCAUCGCUUAACGGUGGAUCCGCGCCGGGUACGGGCGGGCUUGAGUGCGGUAGGGGAGACUGGAAUUCCCGGUGUAACGGUGGAAUGUGUAGAUA
rnacentral:rRNA from 1 species